CAGCCCUUGACAUGGGACGUAUGGGAUUUGGAAACAGAUCUCUUCAGUUCGGCUGGCGUCCACACAGGUGCUGCAUGGCUGUCGUCAGCUCGUGUCGUGAGAUGUUGGGUUAAGUCCCGCAACGAGCGCAACCCUCAUCUUCAGUUGCCAACGGGUAGAGCUGGGCACUCUGGAGAAACUGCCGGUGACAAGCCGGAGGAAGGCGGGGAUGACGUCAAGUCCUCAUGGCCCUUACGGGCUGGGCUACACACGUGCUACAAUGGCGGUGACAGCGGGCGGCGAUGGGGCGACCCUGAGCUAAUCCCGAAAAGCCGUCUCAGUUCGGAUUGCACUCUGCAACUCGAGUGCAUGAAGUUGGAAUCGCUAGUAAUCGCGGAUCAGCAUGCCGCGGUGAAUACGUUCCC
rnacentral:rRNA from 1 species